rnacentral:rRNA from 1 species
AUUGAACGCUGGCGGAAUGCUUUACACAUGCAAGUCGAGCGGCAGCGCGGGGGCAACCCUGGCGGCGAGCGGCGAACGGGUGAGUAACAUAUCGGAACGUACCCAGUCGUGGGGGAUAACUAUCCGAAAGGAUAGCUAAUACCGCAUACGUCCUGAGGGAGAAAGCGGGGGAUCGCAAGACCUCGCGCGAUUGGAGCGGCCGAUAUCGGAUUAGCUAGUUGGUGGGGUAAAGGCUCACCAAGGCGACGAUCCGUAGCGGGUCUGAGAGGACGACCCGCCACACUGGAACUGAGACACGGUCCAGACUCCUACGGGAGGCAGCAGUGGGGAAUUUUGGACAAUGGGGGCAACCCUGAUCCAGCCAUUCCGCGUGAGUGAAGAAGGCCUUCGGGUUGUAAAGCUCUUUCAGCAGGAACGAAACGGUGGUCCCUAAUACGGACUACUAAUGACGAUACCUGAAGAAGAAGCACCGGCUAACUACGUGCCAGCAGCCGCGGUAAUG